UUUGUUGUUUUAUUGCUGAGAACGAGUCUAUUCUUUGAUGAUUGAUUUGCUGAAACUGUUUGCAGAUUCAAAAGGGAUUUGACGCAGAAUCAAAGUACAUCAGCGGAGCUCUUUUCAAAUGCAGAAAUUCGCUAUUGUUCGUUGCAGAACCUGUUAAUCUGUUGGUGUUUACAGGUUUGUUGAAAAGUCAUUCUUAUCUACGGUUUGUUCAUCUUCGAUCGAUUCUCUUUUCGGAUUCUAAUAAUCAAAUUUCGUCAUCUACAAGGGGUGUUCAACAAUGGGAUGCCAAAAGUGUGAAAUAAAAUUAUUGAUGGUGAAUAACCAAUUUGAUUUGAAAAACUUGGACUUGGACAGAUCUCAAGGAGUUGUUCAAAAGGAUAUGACCGAAGGCUGAACUAGACUUUUCAAAGUGUAAUUUGGUCAAAGUGAUACGUGUUGCACCUAGCAAAGCAAUCGAGACUAAAUACGUUAUCAAGACCAUGCAAUGAUCACAAGAUCAAGAGGUAAAAUGUAGUUCAAGAUUUGGGGCUC